UCCUAACUUUGCACCUUUGGCGCCAUAAGCUGCUUCAAUGCGGCGAUAAGGCUUAAUAGGGAAUUCCGUUGAUCCGGAAGCUGUCCCCGCAACUGUGAGUCUGUUUAUAAUGAUCCAAUCCCAAUGCCACUGUUCUGCGAACGGGAAGGCCAUGGAUCAAGAGACGAGCCAGGAGACCUGCCAAAAGUUGAUCCAUCAA
rnacentral:ncRNA from 2 species